rnacentral:rRNA from 1 species
UGAGCAAUCUGCCCUUCUCUUCGGAAUAAGCGUUGGAAACGACGUCUAAUGCCGAAUACGACCUCCUUUCGCAUGAUCGGAGGUGGAAAGCUCCGGCGGAGAAGGAUGAGCUCGCGGCCUAUCAGCUAGUUGGUGUGGGUAAUGGCCCACCAAGGCGACGACGGGGAGCCGGCCUGAGAGGGUGACCCGGCCACACUGGGACUGAGACACGGCCCAGACCUCCUACGGGAGNAG